rnacentral:rRNA from 1 species
GACGAACGCUGGCGGCGUGCUUAACACAUGCAAGUCGAACGGAAAGGCCCUGCUUUUGUGGGGUGCUCGAGUGGCGAACGGGUGAGUAACACGUGAGUAACCUGCCCUUGACUUUGGGAUAACUUCAGGAAACUGGGGCUAAUACCGGAUAGGAGCUCCUGCUGCAUGGUGGGGGUUGGAAAGUUUCGGCGGUUGGGGAUGGACUUGCGGCUUAUCAGCUUGUUGGUGGGGUAGUGGCUUACCAAGGCUUUGACGGGUAGCCGGCCUGAGAGGGUGACCGGCCACAUUGGGACUGAGAGACGGCCCAGACUCCUACGGGAGGCAGCAGUGGGGAAUAUUGCACAAUGGGCGGAAGCCUGAUGCAGCAACGCCGCGUGCGGGAUGACGGCCUUCGGGUUGUAAACCGCUUUCGCCUGUGACGAAGCGUGAGUGACGGUAAUGGGUAAAGAAGCACCGGCUAACUACGUG